AAAACUGCAUUAGUUAUGCAUAAACAGAGUAAUGUUUGCUUAUUUAUUUUUUAAAUAUUAGAAAAUUAUAAAUUAGGGGUUAUCAGUGCAACAUUAAUUUUAAUAUAACACAACACCAUUUACUUUUGGCCCACGGCCCUCAGUCAGGUUUGGCCCUUGUAAGGAAAAUGUUCGGGCACCAAUCAAUGUAUAGUCUAUCUAAGGAGGUAACUGUUAGCAUAUGAUAAUGCAUGCUUGUACAAAGUCAGACCACAUAUUAUCAUGUUUGUCUUCAAUCAAUCAAUUUAAAUAAAAGAAAUGGGGACUUUAUUAAAUAAUAAGGGUCCAUAUAUCACAGUGAUAAAAGACAUACAUAUAUUUUUACUUUAACAUGAACUAAUGCUGAGUUAAGGCAUAUACUAUCAUAAACUAAUGAAGAGUCAUCAUUAACAUGACAUGCUUUUCAUUGUUAGUUAAUGCAUUCAUUUAAAAUAAAUUAAUUUGAGUUCAUGUUGUAAUUAAGUAAGUUCAGUAAGUUACAUGUCUUAACUCAGCAUUAGUUUAUAUUUACUUAUAUUUAAGUAAGAAUUCAUUUAGGUAUACGUUCAAUGUUUCCAAUGAUUAGCAGUUAAUCCACUAAACCCAGAGAUAAUUCCUGAGGCAUGUUUAAAGAGUUUUGUAUUUCAUCAAAAAAGUGCUGAUUCACAAAGAUUUUAUAUUUAAGAAAAUCUGAGCAUCAUUCAAAAUAACUGUUAACAUGUUUGUCAACUAAACAUGUUUUGUCAACGUUAUAAACUUUAUAGAAAUAUUCUUUAUUUUUUAUUAAUGACCAAGUAUAAAGAACAAUGCAUGGUGUGAAAACGCGGAUUAUAUAAAAGUAUAUAAUAAAGUGCGAGCAGAGGAUCAAUCAAACUUGGGCUGGAAUGAUUGUAGUGCAUCUUGGAAUUCGUAGUUUACAUCUACAGCAGCAUAUGGUACAGCAGUGACAACGCCAGAGAAAAGGACUACAUUUCCCAGAAUGCACCUGCACCCACUCAUCUGCCCCUUCAGGUGCGACCGCUUCACCUAUGGGCUUGACGGGAAAAUUCAAAAUCGCGAACCGUUACAGCCUGGACGGUGUCUUUGUUUGCUUGCACAUCAACAGUAAGAGGUCAUGUACACUGUGGUCAACUUUGUGGACGCUGAAGAGGUUUCUGGGUAAAGAUGAUAAAAAUAUAAUUAAGUAACAGUGGAAGCUAAAACAUCAGACUGAUCCAGACACUGAAGAAAUUGAUGUCACUGCAAUCUGGCCAAAAUGAUACAACUAGAUUGGAGUAGCCUACUGUAAUGAAGCUGCAGAACGUCACAGAGACUCUGAGGACAUCAACACAGAAAAUCUAGGCUCCAAAGAGAUGUCUGUCCAGAUGAGGGUGCAUCAACGUUACCUUUGCUGACAAGUAUAUGCUUUUAGCAGUUAACUUAACUCAAACCAUUUAAGGAAAUCGGUUGCCUUAAACCAUUAAGUUUUUAAAAACAUACAUUUGAGUACUGUGAACUUAAGUCUUGUGCAAUUAUGCACUUAUAUUUAGGUAGUGUGAACUUAAAUAUAAGUGCUUAACUGCAUGUGACUCAAUUUGUUUAAGUUCACAGUACUCAAAUCUAUGUGUUUUAAAACUUGAAUGGUUUAAUGCAACCGGUUUUCUUAAAUGUGAGAAAUUACAGUGUUACAGUAAGAAAUGUUUGAAUAAUUCCAAGACAGAGCUCUGUGAUUGAUUCUACACUGCAAAACAUCACUUUCUAACACUUUUUAUCUUGUUUUCAGUAGAAAAACUACUGUAUUUUCUUGAUGAGCAAAAUUACCUUAGAAAAUAUGUCUAGUUUUUAGACAAAAAUAUACAAUUACAGAUAAUUUGUGCCUAAACAAGAAAAAAUAUCUAACAAUGGGGUGAGAAAAUUGUGUUUUAAUUAAGUUUUUAAGAAAAAAGAAAACUUAAGAUUUUUUCUCACACUAUUGGCAGAUAUUUUUGCUUGUUUUAAGCACAAAUUCACUUAAUGUGUGUGUAUUUUAUUUAUUUAUUUUGUCUAAAACUAGACUUAUUUUCUUGGGUCAUUUUGUUCCUCAAGAAAAAGCAUUUUAAUUUAAAUAAUAUUUCUACUGAAAACAAGACAAAAAUACUAUGUAAGAAAGUAAUUUUUUGCAGUGUAGGACUGAUUUCUUAAAAGCAAGAUCAAUAUAGUUGUUGUUCAUUUUAUUAAGAUAUUUACUACAUUACAGUGGCAGCUGGUGACUUCUUUUUUUGUUAGCACUCGAUGCGAAGUUUGUCACAACAUGUAUAUAGCCCGUCAUUUGUGUGGUUCCCAAUUUCAAAAUAUGUGUUUUGCGUGUCGAGUGCGUGUAUGUGCAUCACGUGUUUUGACUAAACACGUGAUGCACGUGGUUUACAUGAAGCAACAAACACAUAUUUUAAAAACACAAGCAACACACAUGACACUCCGAACACUUAUUUUGAAUUUGCAACCCUCGGAUGAGCAGUCACGAGCAGCCCCUGCUACAUUACAUUGUACUACUUUGAAUGUAGUUUUCAUUGUUGCUUUUAUUUUGUUUUAUUUUACUCUAAUAUUGCUUUCUCUGUCUGUAUGUUUAUGAGUUUAAAUUGUAUUGUUUAUGUAUGCAACUUUUAAUAUUUGUGUAUUAUAUUAUUUUGUGAUUGUGACAAUUGUGGAUUGUUCAGUUUUUUAUUAAAUAAACGUUUCAAACUCAA